UACAGAGGGGGCAAGCGUUUAUUCGGAAUUAUUGGGCGUAAAGGGCGCGUAGGCGGCAUGGCAAGUGGAUGGUGAAAUCCCUCGGCUUAACCGAGGAACUGCCGUCCAAACUGCUUCGCUUGAGACCGGGAGAGGUGAGUGGAAUUCCCAGUGUAGCGGUGAAAUGCGUAGAUAUUGGGAGGAACACCAGUGGCGAAGGCGGCUCACUGGACCGGUACUGACGCUGAUGCGCGAAAGCGUGGGGAGCAAACGGGG
rnacentral:rRNA from 1 species